GUACUGAUGAAGAGUCCCAAACUAGGAUGAAGCAGCUGUCCAGUAC
rfam:Trichobilharzia regenti genome assembly, scaffold: TRE_scaffold0038187